rnacentral:lncRNA from 1 species
CACAAUGGCCUAGAAAGGAACGACCGGACUUAGAACGGGGUCGGAGGCCUCGAAAGUUCACAUCUAACUACUGGGUGGUCCGAUUCUGAGUGAUCUCGAAGUUUCUUGCCCACAAAAGCCGAACGGUGAUGCCCCAGACUCGGUUUCUUGGUUCCGUCCCAAAACGCCGAAGAAGGGCACAAUGGCCUAGAAAGGAACGACCGGACUUUAG